rnacentral:lncRNA from 1 species
UCAGGGCAAACUCCUGGGAAGUGUUGGGUUUGUUCUCUUCUUCAGGGAAGAGAUGGCAAGCGAACUGAAAGUGAGAGUUGGAAAGAGCAGAGGGGUCUGUGAGAUCCUGUCUAGAGGAAUUUAGCCAUGAAUUUACCAGAUGCAGAAUGAUCCGGGGGGCCACAGCCUGAAAACCCAAAGUUCACCCCAAUUCAGAGGCAUCCACUAAGACAAGGGACCUUAUAUAAGUACCUAUUUCCCUUAAAGUAAGCCUCUGUUAGUAAAUAAAUCUAUACCUAACCAUUACUGUCAGCACCUUGAAAUGCUACAAGGACUUUUUCUUAUCACUUAAAAUAUCCCCGUGGCUUCUAGUGGGAUAAAGAAAGCAAUUAUUUCAUUAGUAAAUGAAAGGAGAUAAUCUCCUAGCUGUUAAUUCAAUGUAAAUGUAGUCAAUGAGGGUUGCCCUUUUCUUCCCUAUAAGCACAGGAUUUGCAGUUCCACUCAUCUUCCCCUAGAUGCAGGUUUGAGGGAGAAUGACCCCAAGUGCCAUUUUUAUCAUUCCUUUGUAUGACUUUUUAAUAUAUACUUGAUUUCAGUUUUUCUGGUAUUUCUUGUUUAUUUAGAUUUGACUACCUAGGCCCUGAAUUCUAGGGGACAUUAUUCAAGUAUGUAUUAAUGGGACAACAAGUAGGAAUCAUGGAGGAUGUACACUCAUUUGCUUAAGAGAACAACAUGUUUAACCCCGUAAAAUGAAACUGUAAAACACCAAUACUAAGCUUGUAGAUUAUGGAAUAGCAGGUCCCAAGACUGGGCAGCACCAAUCAAAAUAUGCAGGAUCUAUUUGUAAAGCAGUAAAAUUAAUGUUAAAUUUGAGCUUCUUAUCUUUUUUAAAUCAUCAAAUUGUAACGAUCAAGCUUAUCUUGGGAAAUCCUACUUUCAGGGAGGAAAAUUUUUUUAGCCACUUAAAGAAGCCAGUCUUGAGCAGAGAAAAGUUGGGGGAAGUUCAGAGCUACCAAAGUGCUGCUAUUCAAGCAAAGUUGAUAACAAAGCUAUGCCCAGCUGAACUAACUACAUUCGCAGCACAGAUUAGGUAUGGAUCACUCUCUCUAGAAGCAUUCUUGAAGAGAUGUGGAAACAAUGCAAAUUGCAAACUAUUAAAAAAAAAGAAA